CAGUCGCCACGGUAAUACGGAAGGUCCAGGCGUUAUCCGGAUUUAUUGGGUUUAAAGGGAGUGUAGGCGGUCUGUUAAGGGUGUUGUGAAAUUUAGGUGCUCAACAUCUAACUUGCAGCGCGAACUGGCGGACUUGAGUGCACGCAACGUAUGCGGAAUUCAUGGUGUAGCGGUGAAAUGCUUAGAUAUCAUGACGAACUCCGAUUGCGAAGGCAGCGUACGGGAGUGUUACUGACGCUUAAGCUCGAAGGUGCGGGUAUCGAACAGGAUUAGAUACCCCAGUAGUCCCUGUCUCUUAUAC
rnacentral:rRNA from 1 species